rnacentral:tRNA from 1 species
GUAGGUAUAGCUCAGUGGUAGAGAAGGUGCUUAGCAUGUGUGAGGUCCUGGGCUCUAUCCCCAGUACCUCCA